rnacentral:rRNA from 1 species
CGAACGCUGGCGGCAGGCUUAACACAUGCAAGUCGAACGCAUCGCAAGAUGAGUGGCAGACGGGUGAGUAACGCGUGGGAACAUACCCUUUUCUACGGAAUAGCUCUGGGAAAACUGGAAUUAAUACCGUAUACGCCUACGGGGAAAGAUUUAUCGGGAAGGAUUGGCCCGCGUUGGAUUAGCUAGUUGGUGGGGUAAAGGCCUACCAAGGCGACGAUCCAUAGCUGGUCUGAGAGGAUGAUCAGCCACAUUGGGACUGAGACACGGCCCAGACUCCUACGGGAGGCAGCAGUGGGGAAUAUUGCACAAUGGGCGCAAGCCUGAUGCAGCGACGCCGCGUGAGGGAUGACGGCCUCGGUGUAACCGUCUUCAGUAGGAGAAGCGUAAGUGACGGUACCUGCAGAGAAGCGCGCGUAACUACGUGCCAGCAGCCGCGGUAAUCU